rnacentral:lncRNA from 1 species
GUGAAAGACGGGCUGCCUGGAUUCAGCCUCUGGAUCUUAGACCGGGCGCUACAAAUGUAAGAUGAAUUUAGUGGCGCGGCUGCCUCCCUGAAUCCGAACGGUAAUGAUGGAUUUAUCAACGGGGAUUCGCCUUCAGCCCAGCGAGGGAGGUUUACUCAGCAAAUAUGUCGGCGAGCACCCACCCAAAUGCAAUCAUUUGACCCCCUGCGGAUGAUAGCUGCCGUGCCCCUUCCCACCGCUGGUCCUGGUUGGCCAGGGUCGCUCGGGGCCAGAGGCCGGCCCGGAUGGGGUGGCCUCACGGAUCCCUUGGCCUCUCGCCCCCUUCUCCGUUUUCUCCUCUCAGCCCGAGGCUCUCCUGGCAAGGGGGAUCGAUGUGGUGUGUAGGUUUGGUGGGGAGGGAGAGGGUGGCGGCAGUGCCAGAGCACAAGAUGAAGUGUGGGCUGUCUUGGCGUUGCCAGGAGACAUCAGUGGGUGCCGUCGUGCCCUUCUUAGUUUGGAAAGGGCACAAUUGUACCCAAGUCUCUGAGUGUGAGCUUAAGUGCCCUGCUUUUGACCAAACCCUAGUGUCUGGGAUCGUGGCUGACUCGGCCCAGCCCUGGGCCCCAUUGUAGGAAAGGUGGCUGUAGGACAGAAGCCUCUGGUGCCCAGCCCCUUGGAAGGGCUCAGGUGUGCCCAGAGCGACUGCCUUGCCUGCCCAUCCUCCUGGGGCUCCCCAGACCCCAAGCCAAAGCAGAGACGCCUGUUAUCAAAGGUUGGGGAAAAGCAUCCAAGGCAGGGGCAAAACUUCCACAUCUCUUUCCCCCAAACUGAUCUGGCUUCUCCUUCACCUUCCCCCACCGAGACCACCCGGCCAUUUUAAAGUUCAGUGGCUGUGGACUUUUAGAAUUUGGUUUGGGCUGUGAUCCUUACCGCACAGACCCAAUGACCACCACCUCUUUCUUUUUGUCUUUUAUCUGCUCUCCUUUUGAGGGGGAGGAAAGUGCUGGCCUGUUCCAUCAAGCCCAGUUCGCAUUUGCUUUAGCCUCUGAUUUCUCUUUCUUCUUUGGAAAUUUCAUUGAGAUGUCUCUGUACUUCGCUUGUCAGUUAUCUUUGUUCCUUUUAAAUAAAGGGCUUUUAAAUGGACUUA